UACAGAGGAGCCAAGCGUUGUCCGGAUUGACUGGGCGUAAAGCGCACGCAGGCGGGUGCGCGCGUGGGGUGUGAAAUCUGGCCGCUUAACGGCCAGGCGCCAUCCCAUACGGCGCGCCUGGAGCCUUGCAGAGGUCGGUGGAAUUGCCGGUGUAGUGGUGAAAUGCGUAGAGAUCAGGAAGAACACCGGUGGCGAAGGCGCUCUGCUAGGCCGCAACUGACACUGAGGGACGAAAGCUAGGGGAGCGAAUGGG
rnacentral:rRNA from 1 species